AAUAAACUUUCAGAUCAAUGUAAAAUAUGUUUGUGUCACUAAGUCAGUUUUAAUUUUUAUAACCUAUAAAUUCGUUAGGAAAUCAGGCGAAAACGCGUUAUUUUAAUUCAUUGCAAUAAGUGUUAGGUGUACAGUAGACCUAGUAAAAUCUAGCCUAGUGCAAUGGACGUAAAUAAACUGGAUCCUUAACUUUACAGCAAAGGUAAGCUUUUGUUUUUACUCUUCAAUCUGUCAUGAAACACGAAACUCCUGAACACACCUCGUUUAAAGAGUAAACAUCAAAAAUAUAUAUUCGAUUAAUUUACUUGACCUAGGCUACCUAACUGUACUUGGAAUUUAUAAAAUUUUUGCGGUUCCAAACAAUGAAAUGACUUAAUUAUUUUUCUGAGGCAAUAGCUUAUUGAUUAUGGAAAGUAAUAUUUGUAGGCCUUCAAAUAAAUGUUAUGGCAUUUAAAAAUGAGCAUUGAGUCUUGUACAAACUUUGUAUUUUUCAGAGAUAAAGAUUGACGUUGGAUUGGACACUUAAAUAAAAUUAUGUAGACUGAAAAUCUAGACUUAAUAUAAAUAUUGUUCUUGUUACAAUGGGUUUAAACAAUGUAUGUAUUAAUUUUCAGUAUAUCUAAUCGGUAAUCAACACCUAAACAAUUCCAACUAGUUGCAAGCUGAACGGGACAAUUUUCCGGCGUGUCCUUUAUGGACUGUACUCCGUCUUAGCACUAUCCUCAAGUUUUACCCGAGAGGCCAUGCUUCAGGUUGGACCGUCUUCCAUAUAUCUACUGACUUCAUAUAAAUGAAAGUGUACUAAGGACUCGCUGAUCUGCACUACCAGCUCAUGUUCAACGUUACUGAACAACAAAGUAAUCCGACAAUCAGACUGGACCCGGUCACGUUAGAUGCCAGAGGAAGACGAAAACAUAACUGAUCCUCCACUGAUGCACGACUUCGCCCGGAACGCGGCAAGAACCAACAAUGGAAGAAAAUACUAUAGACGUGUUUAUUAACAAUAAAGUUAUUUUAGUUUUUAUGAAAUAGCGAUUGAAUAAAAAUAUUAGGUAUAUGAGUUUUAUUUAGAGAUGAAA